AACCUACUCAUUAAUGUCAUUUACUUUAUAUGCAUGUGUCCAAUGAAUGCAAACCCUAAGGACAUGACUAGCUUUACUUAUUAUUCCUUGCUCACCUGGGGUUAUGUAUUUGGGUAGACUAGGCUAUACUAGGUCUGCUUAGCUGCUCUACUCAUCUUAUACACAUGUCUAAACAAGAAUUACUCUCUACUUAACUUGAUGCUUAAACUGUGCUGAAUCUUUGGUCACUGCGGUGAUGGCGAUGUUGGAUGCUUGCGAGCAUCGUGAUGAUGGUGGUGACAGGGGGAGCGGGUACCGUUGGUGGUCCGGAUUGCCGGGCGUACCCGUCUCUGCUCUCCGUAAGGACUUAGUCAGGGAGCGGCCCCCUGGGACUUACAGUGCAGCUCCAAGCUAUAUGGCUCUGGCUUGACUAAUUAGCAGGAC
rnacentral:lncRNA from 1 species